UUUUUUUUGGGUUAGGGUUGGGGUUAGGGUUCGGGUUUUGCUUAGGGUUAGGAUUAGGGACAUUAGGGUUAGGGUUAUGGUUAGGGCUAGGGAUUGGGUUAGGGUUAGGGCAGACAUUAGAGUUAGGGUGACGAGUUAGGUUUAGGGCUAAGGUUAAGGUUAGAGUUAGGGUCAUUAGGGUUAGGGCUAGGGUUAAGGUUAGGGUUAGGGUUAGGGUUAGGGUUAGGGUCAUUAGGGUUAGGGCUAGGUUUGGUGUUAGGGUUACGUUAGGGUUUGGAUUACUGUUAGGAAUAGUGUUUGGGUUACUCUUAGGGUUAGGGCUAAUUUAGGUUUUGUUUAGGGUUUUGGUUAAGGUUAGGGUUGGUUUUACGGUUAGGGUUAGGGUUAGGAUUUCGUUUACAGUUAGCGUUUGGGUUAUUGUUAGGGUUAGGGCUUGGGUUACUCUGAGUGUUAUGAUUUUGGUUAGGGUUAGUGUAGGGUUAUCGUUAGGGUUAGUGUUAGUGUUAAGGUUACUGUUUGGGUUAGGGUUUGGGUUAGGGUUAGGGUUAUAUUUAGGGUUAUCGUUAGUGUUAGGUUUAUGGUUAGGAUUAGGGUUAGGUUUAGGGUUUGGUUUAGGUUUAGGAUUAUGGUUAGGGUUAAGGUUAAGGUUACGGUUAUGGUUAGGGUUAGGUUUAGGGUUAGGGUUAUGCUUAAGUUUAGGUUUAUGGUUAAUGUUAGUUUUAUGGUUAGUGUUAGGGUUAGAGAUAGUGUUAGGGUUAGAAUUAUGGUUAGGGCAGUCAUUUGGGUUAUGUAUACGGGUUAGCGUUAGGUUUAAGGGUUGGGGUUAGGGCAGUCAGUUGGGUUAUGGUUAACGGUUCGCAUUAGGGUUAAGGUUUAAGGUUAGUGUUAGGUUCAUUAGGGUUAGGGUUAGUGUUAUGCUUAAGUUUAGGUUUAGGGUUAAUGUUUAGGUUUAUGGUUAGGGUUUGGUUUAGGGUUAGGGUUACCUUUAGGGUUAGGUUUAGGGAUAGGUUUAGGGUUAGGGUAAGGGUUAGCACAGGAACCAGAGCCAUCAAAAUUGGUCUGGUUGUCUCUCCUCUGUUCUGAGUAACAUCCUGUAUUCACGGUUUAGAGCAAAACAAAACUGGCAGUGAGUACAGGGUUCUCACUUCUUGCUCCUUGAUGACAAGGAAACCCCAACUGCAGAAAUAAGGUUGCUGUGCUCAUAUGCUUUUCCUGUGAUCUGCAAGGAAUGUUUUCCCUUUGAGAUAAGAAAGCUAUUUUGGUGUCCAGAGUUGACAUGAGUGGUGGGAAUUUUUUAUUUGGUCAGCUGUGAUGUGGUCUGCCUUAUAGCUUUUUAUCACAAGGGUUUGUUCUCUUACUCUGUUCAAUUCACCACUGCUGCUACACCAGUAGGGAGCAGAAAGCCUUCAUUUUCCGUUCAUGUGGUAGCAAAAGAGAAAAGCAGUGAUGUUGGAAGAG
rnacentral:lncRNA from 1 species